UCCGCGGGGAUUGUGUGUAUCGGUGUUGUGCUGCGAUCAAUGCACUCUUCCGAAAGAGUUCCCUGCAACAUUCAUUCUUCUGAGAAAAUGGGCAGUUGUGUUUCAUAUUUUCUCGUUCGAAAUCACAACAAUCAUUUUCCCUACAUUU